UUUUAAGGCAUCUUGAAACUUUUAAAAGACCCGCAAGGUAUGCUAAGAGAUGGGCUUGCGGCACAUUAGUUAGUUGGUAAGGUAACGGCUUACCAAGACUAUGAUGUGUAGCUGGACUGAGAGGUUGAACGGCCACAUUGGGAUUGAGAUACGGCCCAAACUCCUACGGGAGGCAGCAGUAAGGAAUUUUCGGCAAUGGAGGAAACUCUGACCGAGCAACGCCGCGUGAACGAUGAAAUAUUUAGGUAUGUAAAGUUCUUUUAUUAAAGAAGAAAAAAUGAUGGAAAAAUCAUUCUGACGGUAUUUAAUGAAUAAGCCCCGGCUAAUAUAGUGGAGGUUAUCAGGGAUACAGGUGGUGCAUGGUUGUCGUCAGCUCGUGUCGUGAGAUGUUGGGUUAAGUCCCGCAACGAGCGCAACCCUUAUCGCUAGUUACCAUCAUUUAGUUGGGCACUUUAGUGAGACUGCCAAUGAUAAAUUGGAGGAAGGUGGGGAUUACGUCAAAUCAUCAUGCCCCUUAUGACCUGGGCUACAAACGUGAUACAAUGGCUGUUACAAAGAGUAGCUGAAGCGUGAGUUUUUAGCAAAUCUCAAAAAAACAGUCUCAGUUCGGAUUGAAGUCUGCAACUCGACUUCAUGAAGUCGGAAUCGCUAGUAAUCNCGAAUCAGCAUGUCGCGGUGAAUAC
rnacentral:rRNA from 1 species